rnacentral:rRNA from 1 species
CUACGGGUGGCUGCAGUGGGGAAUAUUGGACAAUGGGGGAAACCCUGAUCCAGCAAUGCCGCGUGUGUGAAGAAGGCCUGCGGGUUGUAAAGCACUUUCGGUUGGGAGGACUGCUUCUAGCACUAAUAUUGUUGGAAGUUGACGUUACCUUCAGAAGAAGCACCGGCUAACUCCGUGCCAGCAGCCGCGGUAAUACGGAGGGGUGCAAGCGUUAAUCGGAAUUACUGGGCGUAAAGCGCGCGUAGGCGGCUAGAUCAGUCGGGUGUGAAAGCCCCGGGCUUAACCUGGGAACUGCAUCCGAUACUGUCUAGCUUGAGUACAGGAGAGGAGAGUGGAAUUCCACAUGUAGCGGUGAAAUGCGUAGAUAUGUGGAGGAACACCAAUGGCGAAGGCAGCUCUCUGGCCUGAUACUGACGCUGAGGUGCGAAAGCGUGGGGAGCAAACAGGAUUAGAUACCCGAGUAGUC